GAAGUAAAAGUUGUAACAAGGUCUCCGUUGGUGAACCAGCGGAGGGAUCAUUACCGAGUUUUCAACUCCCUAACCCUUCUGUGAACCUACCUAUCGUUGCUUCGGCGGACUCGCCCCAGCCCGGACGCGGACUGGACCAGCGGCCCGCCGGGGACCUCAAACUCUUGUAUUCCAGCAUCUUCUGAAUACGCCGCAAGGCAAAACAAAUGAAUCAAAACUUUCAACAACGGAUCUCUUGGCUCUGGCAUCGAUGAAGAACGCAGCGAAACGCGAUAAGUAAUGUGAAUUGCAGAAUCCAGUGAAUCAUCGAAUCUUUGAACGCACAUUGCGCCCGCCAGCAUUCUGGCGGGCAUGCCUGUUCGAGCGUCAUUUCAACCCUCGACCUCCCCUUGGGGGGGUCGGCGUUGGGGACCGGCAGCACACCGCCGGCCCUGAAAUGGAGUGGCGGCCCGUCCGCGGCGACCUCUGCGCAGUAAUACAGCUCGCACCGGAACCCCGACGCGGCCACGCCGUAAAACACCCAACUUCUGAACGUUGACCUCGAAUCAGGUAGGACUACCCGCU
rnacentral:rRNA from 1 species